ACCUACGGGGGGCAGCAGUGGGGAAUAUUGCACAAUGGGGGAAACCCUGAUGCAGCGACGCCGCGUGAAGGAAGAAGUAUUUCGGUAUGUAAACUUCUAUCAGCAGGGAAGAAAAUGACGGUACCUGACUAAGAAGCCCCGGCUAACUACGUGCCAGCAGCCGCGGUAAUACGUAGGGGGCAAGCGUUAUCCGGAUUUACUGGGUGUAAAGGGAGCGUAGGCGGCGAUGCAAGUCAGAAGUGAAAGCCCGGGGCUCAACUCCGGGACUGCUUUUGAAACUGUUUUUCUUGAGUACUGGAGAGGCA
rnacentral:rRNA from 1 species